rnacentral:misc_RNA from 1 species
UUUCCGUAGGUGAACCUGCGGAAGGAUCAUUAACGAGUAUAUUGGGGAUUCAUCCUCACAACAUUAACGCUUUACAAGUAUGACCGAGUAAUAGAGAUGCAAUAAUAGACAACUUUUAACAAUGGAUCUCUUGGCUCUU